CCUUAGAUCACCGUUAUUAUAGAAAUUCCCAAACCCACUCUUAGGUUUUUAAUUUAUUAAAGUAUUAAAUGUAAGAACCAAGUGAAACAUAAGGCAAUACAUUAUAGUGGUUGGCGUGAGAGAAAAUAGGAAAAUCAAUUUCAACUUCUCUUCUUAGUUACUUGGUCAGUUCCACUUUCCACACUACAUAUUCGGUUCCAUCUUUUUAGAAAGAAAGAUAACAAAAGGUAUAGAGAGGAACACAAAGAGAGAAAGAGAAACAUAGAAGAUGUUUGAAGGAGAAAGAAAAGAGAGCAAGGCAUUCAAUUCUAGGUGUGGAUUCAGUGGAGCAAAUACCACGAGUUGAAAUCUUAAUAGCUGCUAUAUUGCUAAGAUAAUGAUAAUGACUUACAGUUGGAGGCUCCGAGAUAUGUGGACCUUUGGUGCGCCUUGGUGAGAUUUCUCACAAGUGUCCAAAGUUAUGACCAGCUAGGGUGUGUCUUUGGGUAGUGAAAGGCGGAAAGCUUUGUUCUUAGGAAUUUUAUAUUUUGAUGUAAAACAACUCUGAUUUACUAUUCUGAAGAUUUAAGAGAAACUUAUUUAUUCAAAUUUCUGAA